CCGGCGACCGGCGCACGGGUGAGUAACACGUAUGCAACCUGGCCGCCACAGGGGGAUAACCCGCGGAAACGCGGCCUAAUACCCCGUGACGCCACCGGAGGGCAUCCUCCGGUGGCCAAAGGAGCGAUCCGGUAGCGGAUGGGCAUGCGGCGCAUUAGCUAGACGGCGGGGUGACGGCCCACCGUGGCGACGAUGCGUAGGGGUUCUGAGAGGAAGGCCCCCCACACUGGGACUGAGACACGGCCCAGACUCCUACGGGAGGCAGCAG
rnacentral:rRNA from 1 species